rnacentral:lncRNA from 1 species
AUCAUUUGUCGACACGUAGGGGUUGGCACAUAUACUAGCACUAUUCGACUCUAACGGUUACCUGUACGGAGUAUUUCAGUAACAAUAUAACAACAAUAAUUUAUGGAUCGCAAAAAUAUAGUAAAAUUUUAGCAACUAUAGUAACGACAUGGAUUGUGAAGUUUCCCCAAGCAAAUUAUGAAUGCAAGUUUACUUCGUAUCCGAUUGGAUAUCAGGUAGAGUCUACAAAGUGUUCAUGCACACCUCGGUGGCCCUAGCAAAAGCUACCCACACAUGAUUAUCUUCCUUCCCAC